rnacentral:rRNA from 1 species
UUUUGCCAUUUUCAAUAAGCGGAGGAAAAGAAACCAACAGGGAUUGCCUUAGUAGCGGCGAGUGAAGCGGCAAUAGCUCAAAUUUGAAAUCUGGCACCUUCGGUGUCCGAGUUGUAAUUUGAAGAAGGUAUCUUUGGUUUUGGCUCUUGUCUAUGUUCCUUGGAACAGGACGUCACAGAGGGUGAGAAUCCCGUGCGAUGAGAUGCCCAAUUCCAUGUAAAGUUCCUUCGACGAGUCGAGUUGUUUGGGAAUGCAGCUCUAAGUGGGUGGUAAAUUCCAUCUAAAGCUAAAUAUUGGCGAGAGACCGAUAGCGAACAAGUACUGUGAAGGAAAGAUGAAAAGAACUUUGAAAAGAGAGUGAAAAAGUACGUGAAAUUGUUGAAAGGGAAGGGCUUGAGAUUAGACUUGGAAUUUUCCAUUUAUGGAGCUUUCCGGGCCAGCAUCAGUUUGGAUGGCAGGAUAAUUGCGUUGGAAAGUAGCACCACUUCGGUGGUGUGUUAUAGACUUCGUCGAUACUGCCUAUCUAGACUGAGGACCGCGUCUUUGACUAGGAUGCUGGCGUAAUGAUCUUAAGCCGCCCGUCUUGAAACACCGGAACCAAACCA